UUGUAGCCCCGCCCACACAGGGUAAAACCUGUUCGCU
rnacentral:tRNA from 1 species